CGAAGGGAAGAAAACGCGGGGAUUACCUCAGUAACGGCGAGUGAAGCGGUAACAGCUCAAAUUUGAAAGCUAGCUCUUUUAGGGUUCGCAUUGUAAUUUGUAGAAGAUGCUUCGGGUGUGGCCCCGGUCUAAGUUCCUUGGAACAGGACGUCAUAGAGGGUGAGAAUCCCGUAUGUGACUGGGUGCUUUCGCUCAUGUGAAGCUCUUUCGACGAGUCGAGUUGUUUGGGAAUGCAGCUCAAAAUGGGUGGUAAAUUUCAUCUAAAGCUAAAUAUUGGCCAGAGACCGAUAGCGCACAAGUAGAGUGAUCGAAAGAUGAAAAGCACUUUGGAAAGAGAGGUAAACAGUACGUGAAAUUGUUGAAAGGGAAACGCUUGCAACCAGACUUGCGCGCUGAUGAUCAUCCCGGCUUCUGCCCGGUGCACUCGUCUGCGCUCAGGCCAGCAUCCGUUUCAGUGGUGGGAUAAAAGGCUUGGGAAUGUGGCUCCUCUCGGGGAGUGUUAUAGCCCUCGGCGCAAUGCCCCCUACCGGGACCGAAGAACCGCGCUUCCGCUAAGAUGCUGGCCUAAUGGUUGUAAGCGACCCGCCUUGAAACCCGGACCAAGGAAUCUAACAUCUAUUCCAAUGUUUGGGGGUCAAACCCUACCCGUAAUGAAAGGUAACGGAGGGGAAAAACCCUUAAGGGGGGCUCAUCCCACCGAUCCCGAAGUCUUCCGAAGGAUUUGAGUAAAAACCUAGCUCUUGGGAACCCAAAAAAGGGCAACUCUAGGCGGAAAUGGGGGAAUCCCAGGAAAAUCUCUUGGAAGGUCCCAACGGUUUUAAAGGGGAAUCGGUCCGCCAAUUUUGCCUAAGGGGGCAAAAAUAAUUUCCACAUCUCCCGAAUGGAUUCGAUUCGUCCUCC
rnacentral:rRNA from 1 species